AGCGAACGCUGGCGGCAGGCUUAACACAUGCAAGUCGAGCGCCCGUAGCAAUACGGGAGCGGCAGACGGGAGAGUAACACGUGGGAACGUACCCUUCGGUUCGGAAUAACCCAGGGAAACUUGGGCUAAUACAGGAUACGUCCGUAAGGAGAAAGAUUUAUUGCCGAGGGAUCGGCCCGCGUCCGAUUAGCUAGUUGGUGAGGUAAUGGCUCACCAAGGCGACGAUCGGUAGCUGGUCUGAGAGGAUGAUCAGCCUCACUGGGACUGAGA
rnacentral:rRNA from 1 species